rnacentral:tRNA from 1 species
GCCGAAGUGGUGAAACUGGUAGACGCGCACGGUUCAGGGCCGUGUGGGCGCAAGCCCGUGUGGGUUCGACUCCCACCUUCGGCACCA